CAAUAGCGUAUAUUAAAGUUGUUGCAGUUAAAAAGCUCGUAGUUGAAUUUCUGGCGGGCGCGCCGGUCUUCCAAGUGUUGUACUGGGCGCAGUCCGCCAUCCUUGUGGAGAGGGCUCGCAUUGAGUUGCGUGUCGGAUCUGCAUCAUUUACUGUGAAAAAAUUAGGGUGUUUAAAGCAGGCUGUCGCUUGAAUACAUUAGCAUGGAAUAAUAAGAUAGGACUUCGGUCUAUUUUGUUGGUUGCGAACCGAGGUAAUGAUUAAUAGGGAUAGUUGGGGGUAUUCAUAUUUAAUUGUCAGAGGUGAAAUUCUUGGAUUUAUGAAAGAUGUACAACUGCGAAAGCAUUUACCAAGGAUGUUUUCAUUA
rnacentral:rRNA from 1 species